rnacentral:rRNA from 1 species
CAUACGACCUACGGGUGAAAGAGGGGGACCUUCGGGCCUCUCGCGAUUGGAUGAGCCUAUGCCGGAUUAGCUAGUUGGCGGGGUAAGAGCCCACCAAGGCGACGAUCCGUAGCUGGUCUGAGAGGAUGAUCAGCCACACUGGAACUGAGACACGGUCCAGACUCCUACGGGAGGCAGCAGUGGGGAAUAUUGGACAAUGGGCGCAAGCCUGAUCCAGCAAUGCCGCGUGUGUGAAGAAGGCCUUCGGGUUGUAAAGCACUUUUGUUUGGGAAGAAAUCCGGUUGGUUAAUACCUGAUCGGGAUGACGGUACCAAAAGAAUAAGCACCGGCUAACUUCGUGCCAGCAGCCGCGGUAAUACGAAGGGUGCAAGCGUUAAUCGGAAUUACUGGGCGUAAAGCGUGCGUAGGUGGUUUGUUAAGUCAGAUGUGAAAGCCCUGGGCUCAACCUGGGAACUGCAUU